rnacentral:tRNA from 1 species
GGAUUGUGGCUCAGUGGCAGAGUGCUCGCCUAGCACAUUCGAGGCCCUGGGUUCAAUCCUCAGCACCA